rnacentral:rRNA from 1 species
UUCUUUCCAUCGGCGGGCACAAGCUACGCUAGGGAUAACAGGCUUAUUCGCUCACAGAGCUCUAUCGACGAGCGCGGUUGGCACCUCGAUGUUGGAUCAUCGCUUCCUGUAGCUGCAAACGGUUGCAAGGGUCGGACUGUUCGUCCGGGAAGGCGGUACGUGAUCUGAGUUCAAAGCGUCGCGAGACAGUUUGGUUUCUAUCUUCAUCGCUGCAAACCCCGCGGCGUCGCAUACCGUACGAAAGGAUUGCUGUGCGUCCAACCGCUCGGGCACCGACCAACGUUGGGAAGCCGCGGGGUUUCUUUCGCCUUUAAAA